AUUGAACGCUGGCGGCAGGCCUAACACAUGCAAGUCGAGAGAGAGGCGGACGGGUGAGUAAUGUAUGGGGACUGCCCGAUAGAGGGGGAUAACUACUGGAAACGGUGGCUAAUACAGAAUACUAUCGGAUAACCCAUAUGGGAUUAGGUAGGAGGUGGGGUAAAGGCUCACCUAGGCGAAGAUUUCUAGCUGGUCUGAGAUGAUGAUAAGCCACACUGGUACUGAGAUACGGCCACGACUCCUACGGAGGCAGCAGUGGGGAAUAUUUCACAAUGGGCGCAAGCCUGAUGCAGCCAUGCCGCGUGUAUGAAGAAGGCCUUAGGGUUGUAAAGUACUUUCAGCGGUGAGGCGUUACCCGCAGAAGAAGCACCGGCUAACUCCGUGCCAGCAGCCGCGGUAAUAC
rnacentral:rRNA from 1 species